GAUAUGAGGCAUGCAUGCAUGUUAUCUCCCUCUUCCCCUUGGGUGCAGUCCUCGCAGCAUGUGCCGUUUUCAGGUAUGGGCUGCUGGCCCGUGGGAGCACCUGGGAGUGUGGGAAAAGGGAGGCACUGCCAUGUAGGGCGCCUGCAGGCAGCCAGUUCACAUCAGGCAAAUAGCCCCCCAUAGAAGCAAAGUCUCCGGCUGU
rnacentral:SRP_RNA from 1 species